GUGAGGAAGCCUGUCAUCUGGGUCGCUUCCAGGUCCCUGGAGAGUUUCCUCUGCUGUCGUGGUACUGGGUUGGCUCUUUGUUUCAUUGAAUCCACCAGAAGGAAAGUUCUGGAGCUGGAGGUGGGGUGAGGAGCAGGCUGCUGCCCCUGACCUUUGCUCAGGGAGGGAACGCAUGACAAUGAGGGGUCUUUGCGAGGUGCAAAGAUUUGAACGCCGUUGGAAUCCAUUCUGCAUGCAGUGCAGCCCACACGAAGCUGGAGGGAAGGCAGGGUCCUGUGUGGGAGCUGUCAGGUGUUGAGCGGGGCUGAAGCAGGUGAGUCGUGCAGCACAGCAGAGCUGAGGCUGGAGGGAGUCCAAAGCUACCGGACCCCACAGUCCAUUUGCUGAGUCUCAGCUUCAACUGGAAGACGGUGGGGGCCACUGAGAGAUCACGUGGGAUGACAGGUCACAAGGCCCCCUUUGCCUGUAGUACGGAUGUUGGAUUAGAAGGAGUGGGACCCGACACUGAGGACCGGAGGAGGCUGGCAGCAUCCCGAAAGUGCUGAGGGAGCCUGGGGGAGGGGAGGGGAAGAGAAGAGAGGAGUGACGAGGAGGAGGGGGGCAGAAUCAAUGCGGCAGUGGACUGGAUGAGUGAGACGAGGGGGUGACAGAGAGGAAGGAGCUGAGGAUGCUGCUCAGGUCUGGACCGCUUAUUGAGAGGAUGAAGCAAGAUGGGGAGCCAGUCACGUGGCACAGAGCAGGGGGCCGCUACCAUGAGAACAACUCUAGCAACACUUUCCUGCCUGUGACGAAUUGUGAAGAUCAGUCCCUAUAAUGAGGCAUCAGUUCCCUGAGGGCAGGGACAGUCUCUGUCUAGUUUUCUGCACUGUGCUGGAUGCGGGGCGUCCCUAAGGAAUGACCUAAUCUACCGCUAGGCUGUCCCCUCUCCUCGCCUCAGCCUGCUUUGGCCAGAAGGUGGCGCUCUUCCUAGAAAGAACCUCGGGUCUUGAGGACAUGCGGUUGGUUUAAGAAGCUUGGUUCCAGAGUCCAUCUUCCUCCUGGACGAGCUUCGUGGCUUUAGAGUGUUGCUGGAGUGUAAUUCCUGCAGGGCUCACUUCCUUUAAUAAAAUAGUGCAGGAAAACA
rnacentral:lncRNA from 1 species